rnacentral:lncRNA from 1 species
UUGGACACUGCUACCUCUUAGAUGAAGAAGCUUGGAGAGAAGCAAAGAAAUAUAUGUAUAGCUGGAUUUAACCAUUUUUGAAUUGUUCUCUGAUGGGCCAAUCAGAUCUGAUCAGGUCUAUAUUGGACAAUAAGGAUCCUGAUCAUCCAAAUUCUUAUGUGUUUUCUAAUAUAUAUGCAUGUAUUGUCAAGUGUUAUUAAGAUUGUCCAUUUCUAGGCUAUUUGAUGCUUGUAUUAGGUUUUUUCAAAUUAUAUGAUAUUUGAUACUAUCAGCAAUUUUUAGCUACAAAAUUAUAUCUAAUGGUUGGAAUUAUUAAUGUG